AGAGUUUGAUCCUGGCUCAGAUUGAACGCUGGCGGCAUGCCUUACACAUGCAAGUCGAACGGUAACAGGUCUUCGGACGCUGACGAGUGGCGAACGGGUGAGUAAUACAUCGGAACGUGCCCGAUCGUGGGGGAUAACGGAGCGAAAGCUUUGCUAAUACCGCAUACGAUCUACGGAUGAAAGCAGGGGACCGCAAGGCCUUGCGCGGACGGAGCGGCCGAUGGCAGAUUAGGUAGUUGGUGGGAUAAAAGCUUACCAAGCCGACGAUCUGUAGCUGGUCUGAGAGGAUGAUCAGCCACACUGGGACUGAGACACGGCCCAGACUCCUACGGGAGGCAGCAGUGGGGAAUUUUGGACAAUGGGCGCAAGCCUGAUCCAGCCAUGCCGCGUGCAGGAUGAAGGCCUUCGGGUUGUAAACUGCUUUUGUACGGAACGAAAAGCUUUCCUCUAAUAAAGGGGGGUCAUGACGGUACCGUAAGAAUAAGCACCGGCUAACUACGUGCCAGCAGCCGCGGUAAUACGUAGGGUGCAAGCGUUAAUCGGAAUUACUGGGCGUAAAGCGUGCGCAGGCGGUUUUGUAAGACAGAGGUGAAAUCCCCGGGCUCAACCUGGGAACUGCCUUUGUGACUGCAAGGCUGGAGUGCGGCAGAGGGGGAUGGAAUUCCGCGUGUAGCAGUGAAAUGCGUAGAUAUGCGGAGGAACACCGAUGGCGAAGGCAAUCCCCUGGGCCUGCACUGACGCUCAUGCACGAAAGCGUGGGGAGCAAACAGGAUUAGAUACCCUAGUAGUCCACGCCC
rnacentral:rRNA from 1 species